rnacentral:rRNA from 1 species
AGAGUUUGAUCCUGGCUCAGGAUGAACGCUAGCGGCAGGCCUAACACAUGCAAGUCGAGGGGCAGCACGGUGUAGCAAUACACUGGUGGCGACCGGCGCACGGGUGCGUAACGCGUAUGCAACCUACCCAUAACAGGGGGAUAACACUGAGAAAUUGGUACUAAUACCCCAUAACAUCAGGACCGGCAUCGGUUCUGGUUGAAAACUCCGGUGGUUAUGGAUGGGCAUGCGUUGUAUUAGCUGGUUGGUGAGGUAACGGCUCACCAAGGCAACGAUACAUAGGGGGACUGAGAGGUUAACCCCCCACAUUGGUACUGAGACACGGACCAAACUCCUACGGGAGGCAGCAGUGAGGAAUAUUGGUCAAUGGACGCAAGUCUGAACCAGCCAUGCCGCGUGCAGGAAGACGGCUCUAUGAGUUGUAAACUGCUUUUGUACGAGGGUAAACGCUCUUACGUGUAAGAGCCUGAAAGUAUCGUACGAAUAAGGAUCGGCUAACUCCGUGCCAGCAGCCGCGGUAAUACGGAGGAUCCAAGCGUUAUCCGGAUUUAUUGGGUUUAAAGGGUGCGUAGGCGGUUUGAUAAGUUAGAGGUGAAAUACCGGUGCUUAACACCGGAACUGCCUCUAAUACUGUUGAACUAGAGAGUAGUUGCGGUAGGCGGAAUGUAUGGUGUAGCGGUGAAAUGCUUAGAGAUCAUACAGAACACCGAUUGCGAAGGCAGCUUACCAAACUAUAUCUGACGUUGAGGCACGAAAGCGUGGGGAGCAAACAGGAUUAGAUACCCUGGUAGUCCACGCAGUAAACGAUGAUAACUCGCUGUCGGCGAUACACGGUCGGCGGCUAAGCGAAAGCGAUAAGUUAUCCACCUGGGGAGUACGUUCGCAAGAAUGAAACUCAAAGGAAUUGACGGGGGCCCGCACAAGCGGAGGAACAUGUG